UACGUAGGGACCGAGCGUUGUCCGGAAUCAUUGGGCGUAAAGAGCGUGUAGGCGGCUAUUUAAGUCCUGCGUGAAAUCCUGCGGCUCAACCGCAGACGGUCGUGGGAAACUGGAUGGCUAGAGUGCGGGAGAGGAGAGUGGAAUUCCCAGUGUAGAGGUGAAAUUCGUAGAUAUUUGGGAAGAACACCGGUGGCGAAGGCGGCUCACUGGCUCGUAUCUGACGCUCAGGCGCGACAGCGUGGGGGAUCAAACAGG
rnacentral:rRNA from 1 species